rnacentral:rRNA from 1 species
AACAGGAUUAGAUACCCUGGUAGUCCAUGCCGUAAACGAUGAGUGCUAGGUGUUGGAGGGUUUCCGCCCUUCAGUGCCGGAGCUAACGCAUUAAGCACUCCGCCUGGGGAGUACGACCGCAAGGUUGGAACUCAAAGGAAUUGACGGGGGCCCGCACAAGCGGUGGAGCAUGUGGUUUAAUUCGAAGCUACGCGAAGAACCUUACCAGGUCUUGACAUCUUGCGCCAACCCUAGAGAUAGGGCGUUUCCUUCGGGAACGCAAUGACAGGUGGUGCAUGGUCGUCGUCAGCUCGUGUCGUGAGAUGUUGGGUUAAGUCCCGCAACGAGCGCAACCCUUGUUACUAGUUGCCAGCAUUAAGUUGGGCACUCUAGUGAGACUGCCGGUGUCAAACCGGAGGAAGGUGGGGACGACGUCAGAUCAUCAUGCCCCUUAUGACCUGGGCUACACACGUGCUACAAUGGACGGUACAACGAGUCGCGAACUCGCGAGGGCAAGCAAAUCUCUUAAAACCGUUCUCAGUUCGGACUGCAGGCUGCAACUCGCCUGCACGAAGUCGGAAUCGCUAGUAAUCGCGGAUCAGCAUGCCGCGGUGAAUACGUUCCCGGGCCUUGUACACACCGCCCGUCACACCAUGAGAGUUUGUAACACCCAAAGUCGGUGGGGUAACCUUUUAGGAGCCAGCCGCCUAAGGUGGGACAGAUGAUUAGGGUGAAGUCGUAACAAGGUAACC